AUUCCAGCUCCAAUAGCGUAUAUUAAAGUUGCUGCGGUUAAAAAGCUCGUAGUUGGAUCUCGGCAGUCCUCUGGCGGUUCGCUGUUUGGCGUUACUGCCAGUGAGCGACUGUGAUUUUUGCCGGAGGGGCGAGGGUGCCCUUAACCGGGUGUCCGCGUCCGCCGGCAGGUUUACUUUGAAAAAAUUAGAGUGCUCCAAGCAGGCUUUCCACGCCUGAAUAUUUGUGCAUGGAAUAAUGGAAUAGGACGUCGUUUCUAUUUUGUUGGUUUUCGGAAAUCGACGUAAUGAUUAAUAGGGACAGUCGGGGGCAUUAGUACUCAGACGACAGAGGUGAAAUUCUUGGACCGUCUGAAGACUAACUGCUGCGAAAGCGUUUGCCAAGAAUGUUUUCAUUAAUCAAGAACGAAAGUUAGAGGUUCGAAGGCGAUCAGAUACCGCCCUAGUUCUAACCCUAAACGAUGCCAGCUAGCGAUCCGAGGUUGUUUUAUUAGUAGGCUCCUCGGGCAGCUUCCGGGAAACCAAAGCUUUUGGGUUCCGGGGGAAGUAUGGUUGCAAAGCUGAAACUUAAAGGAAUUGACGGAAGGGCACCACCAGGAGUGGAGCCUGCGGCUUAAUUUGACUCAACACGGGAGAUCUCACCAGGCCCGGACACUGGCAGGAUUGACAGAUUGAGAGCUC
rnacentral:rRNA from 1 species